rnacentral:lncRNA from 1 species
CACAAACCCACACCAGGCUGAAGUCCAGGGGACAGGAACUUUAAAAGAAAACAGAAACUCAGUGGAUAAAGAAUGGGAAUAAUCCACAUGAGAGUUGCUCCUUCUGCCUGGGCCUGGGAAUGAGAAGACCUGUGGAGCUGAGCUACUGCUUACCCACAACCUGCAUAUACAUAAAUCAGAAGCCAGCACUGGUUGUUGUGAGUCGCUUAGAUUUUGGGCUUGAUGAAGAUGACCUUAGGCACAGUGACCCUGAAGGCCACAUGUUAAAGACAGUGGAGCCACAGGAUGGAAGGAAGCUGGUUCCCUGAAUCAUCACGUGGCAGAGAGCGGACCACUAAUCAGGAUCAUGUGUUUCAGAUUUCACUUGACCAAUAAAUCAAUUUCAAUUUUGUUACACUG